rnacentral:rRNA from 1 species
AUUGAACGCUGGCGGCAGGCUUGACACAUGCAAGUCGAGCGGGGGAAGGUAGCUUGCUACCGGACCUAGCGGCGGACGGGUGAGUAAUGCUUAGGAAUCUGCCUAUUAGUGGGGGACAACGUCUCGAAAGGGAUGCUAAUACCGCAUACGUCCUACGGGAGAAAGCAGGGGAUCUUCGGACCUUGCGCUAAUAGAUGAGCCUAAGUCGGAUUAGCUAGUUGGUGGGGUAAAGGCCUACCAAGGCGACGAUCUGUAGCGGGUCUGAGAGGAUGAUCCGCCACACUGGGACUGAGACACGGCCCAGACUCCUACGGGAGGCAGCAGUGGGGAAUAUUGGACAAUGGGGGGAACCCUGAUCCAGCCAUGCCGCGUGUGUGAAGAAGGCCUUAUGGUUGUAAAGCACUUUGAGCGAGGAGGAGGCUACUUUAGUUAAUACCUAGAGAUAGUGGACGUUACUCGCAGAAUAAGCACCGGCUAACUCUGUGCCAGCCGCCGCCGUAA